GAUUUCUGGUUCGGCGCACUUAGCCCGUCUCGGUUUACGAGAUUGUGUGCUGGUGUGCGCCAUCCAUCCUUCGAUGCGAAAUAUUUUCAGCUCUUCACUGGGUUGGAAAUAUACUAGCUCGAUCUUUUACUUUGAAAAAAUUAGAGUGUUUCAAGCAGGCUUUAUGCUAUGAAUACAUUAGCAUGGAAUAAUAAUUUAGGACUUCGGUUCUAUUUUGUUGGUUUCUAGGACUGAAGUAAUGAUUGAUAGGGAUAGUUGGGGGUGCUAGUAUUCAGCGGCCAGAGGUGAAAUUCUCGGAUUCGCUGAAGACUAACUUAUGCGAAAGCAUU
rnacentral:rRNA from 1 species